CGAGUUCAUAUUCUUUUUUUUACUGUAUACAUGGUAUAUGUUGUCAAUAAAGAUGCAUAAGGUCCGAGACCGCAAUUGUCGUCCCUUGAUUUUCGUUAUUCACGAAUAUAGUCCCUAGUGUUGACAGUGGGUUACUUGCCAUUAAUUUUUAUACCCCUUCCAAAUUUAUUUCUCCAUGUUUAAUGCCUCAAAUUGCAAGAAAGGGGGUGAAAUUACAGUGUAAAAAAAUUUGGGUCCCUAAUUUUUUUUAGGAAAGUAGAGUUUGGUCCAGCUGAAAAAGGUUAAAAAUUAGCACCUCGGAAGCUGUCAAAAGAUUUCAAGACGCCCUAUAUAUAAAAUUGUCCAUAUUUUGAGUUAGAGCUGAUGAAGUUUUCUAUAAUUUUGAUAUAAUUUGUCCCAAAAGUAGUACAGCACACUGUAAAAAUUUCAUUGAGAAAGCGCAGGUGGGAUUUUAAAAAAUUUAUAAAGGUCUGCCAACUUGCCCUACUUUAAAAAAUGAAAACUUAUCUACUCAGAUUUAAAAAAAAAUGUGACUGUCACCAGUAAAACUGCAUUUGCAACCGUCAAAUCCACAAUUGACGGUGACAACUCUUCAACUACAGUACUGGUAUUCCGAUUCUAAUUCAUAACAAAAAGAUAUAAUACGAUGGAGUUUGAAAAAAUGUAUAAAUUUGACAUACAAAAAAAAUCUGUGAAACUUCAUGAAUGAUUUUCGCGCAAAGACGUCAUGGCUAAAUAUGACUUCAUACAAAUGAAAACUUACAAAUUGGAGGUUAAUAAGUUGCAUCUUCGAUUCAAAUUUGGAUAAAAUCACUGUUAAACAGUGAAUUGGAGAUGGUGUUGUUCUAUUAAUGACAACAUUGUAGUAAAUCGAACCUUUGUUGAUCCAAUCAAUUCAAUAUUGCGGCUCCCUCCUUAGUUUUGCCUUGUCAACUGGGGAAAUGUAUGUAUUUAUUGGAGAAUACAUUUAUUUAACUACUCUUAUAUGCUUAAUUUUUUUAGUGAUUUGCCAGAUAAUUGCAAAGAAACCUGUUAAUUGUAUCAUAAAUAUAUCUUAUAGGUUUUUUAGCCAACUCAAAAUCAUGCUUUUAGGACCCCCUUGUUGUACUGAGGAAGUGGACCGC
rnacentral:lncRNA from 1 species